UACGUAGGGGGCAAGCGUUGUCCGGAUUUAUUGGGCGUAAAGAGCUCGUAGGCGGUUCCGUAAGUCGUGAAGUCAAAUCUCUGGGCUCAACCCAGAAUCGCUUCCGAUACUGCGGUGACUGGAGUCCGGUAGGGGAGUGUGGAAUUCCUGGUGCAGCGGUGAAAUGCGCAGAUAUCAGGAGGAACACCAACAGCGAAGGCAGCACUCUGGGCCGGUACUGACGCUGAGGAGCGAAAGCAUGGGGAGCGAACAGG
rnacentral:rRNA from 1 species